AAUGGAUUGAAGAAAUACAGACUCCGAAUGCUGUUUUGGCAAAGCACCUAGUAUCUUCAAGGUGGGAGGCUCUUUCCUAUAUGAAAGAUGUAGGCCAAGAAGAAAGUAACGAGAAGGAUUUUUUAGAGCUAGUCGUUUAUACAAUAAUUUUCUUUUGUUUAAAAGUGUAAGAUGAUGUUUAUUUGAUGGGCAAUAUGUAAAUCAAAAUUUUUCUUCAAUUUAUUACAAUGAUG
rnacentral:lncRNA from 1 species